CAGCCGCCACGGUAAUACGGAGGGGGCUAGCGUUGUUCGGAAUUACUGGGCGUAAAGCGCACGUAGGCGGCUAUGUAAGUUAGAGGUGAAAGCCUGGAGCUCAACUCCAGAAUUGCCUUUAAGACUGCGUGGCUAGAAGGUGAGAGAGGUGAGUGGAAUUCCGAGUGUAGAGGUGAAAUUCGUAGAUAUUCGGAAGAACACCAGUGGCGAAGGCGGCUCACUGGCUCAUACUGGACGCUGAGGUGCGAAAGCGUGGGGAGCAAACAGGAUUAGAUACCCCCGUAGUCCCUGUCUCUUAUAC
rnacentral:rRNA from 1 species